AGGUCCAGUAGUGACCCAGCAGCCUCUUGGGCCUCAGCGUCGAGCUGAAGGAUCUCCACAGUCUCCAGAUCAAGCUCGGUGUCACCGGGCAGCACCAGUGCAGGUUUGCUGAUCAGGUUGCUGUUGGUGCUGUGAUAACUGUGGGUCUUCCUGAGCACCUCGAGGAGCGCUGGCCGAUACUCCGGACACACACACCACAGCGAGCCCUUCCCCACUGACUGCAACCCAUACAUAACAUUACUUCAGAUAUUCAGGGUCGCUGGAGCCUACCCCAGCUACUUAUGGGUGAAGGUGGAGUACACCCUGGACAUGUCACCAGUUCAUCACAGGGCUGAAUUUAUUUUAAAUUAUUAGUGCUUUUUUCCCCAACACAUUUUCCAUUCCAG